UUUCUCCACUAUUUUCUUUCUAACAUUUUCUCCCAUUUUCCACCGAUGAUUGAUUCGUCCCUGUUCCCUGGUUCACCUGGAUUCGCAGACCUUUCCUGAGUUGGUGGAGGAGUCGUUGCUAGAUGAUUGGGAUUUCCGGCAGGUGGAAUCGCAUCAGAGGAGGCGCAAUUUCUGGACUCUCCUCCUCAGCAACUACAUUUUUUGAACGAGGGUUUUGGUUUGGUUUUAACAGAUGAACUAACAAAAAGGUGCCGACAUCGGUUGAUUUAUAGAGCGAGGAUGGAUAAGAAAUUAGAGGCAGCUUCAUCUUCUUCAUCAGUUGAUUAAUUUCUCAGUUAAGAUCCACAUGGUAGAAGAGGAGUAGAAAAUGGACUGUUUGCAUAAUUGGUGGAUCCGUUGUUCUUCAAUCGCUAGAAAAUUUGGUGAAUCUGUCAUUGUUACUUACUACAAGGAGCUUCCUAACUCCAGGUAGAAGGAGAUGAUAUUAAAACAGAUGAGUAUUAUGGAAGAGCAAUACUAGCGACUCCUAGAGACGGAGACCUUUUGUCUUUGUAUGGCAAACUAAUUUGGGACGUACAGGCCAUUAGCGUCUCUCCUGGUGACUGUAGGGUUAUGGGAUCAUUAGCACAAUUUAUGUAGGAUGCAGUCCGGAUCUAAGGUGCCGGUUCCUGCCACAAAAGCGAUAUGAUAAUUGCAGCUUUUGCAGGAGAGUUUGAGUGGAAGCGUUAUUACUUAUUAGGUCAUCAACAGGAGAGUUUGAGGAGGAAUUGUGAAUCAGAACCAGAAUCAAGGAUGUUAGCUGUGAAUUAUGUGCAAAUAAAACAUCCUAAAAUACUAAAUACCACACAGGUCGAUUGUAGUCUAUACUUUAUAUCGCCGCGUACGAUGCCACGGCAUGUGUUUAUUUUAUGUACGUUUUGAGUUGGUCUAUGUUUCAACGCCGCAUAUGGUGCCGCCGCAACACGCGGCGGGUUAAAAAACUAGCUACAUCUUAAAGCACAAAUUCGGCGCCUACACCACCGACCAAAACGUUUGGGAUUUUGUGCUUUCUCCUCCUCUAUUUGCUUUUCAGUAGUUUCUCCCAGUUUCACUAUUCGUCCCUGUUGCCUGGAUUCGCAGACAUUUCCGGAAAUGUUAUCGGAGUUGGUGAAGGAGUCGUUGCUAGACGAAGAUGUUAUUGGGAUUUCCGGCAGGUGGAAUCGCAUCAGAGGAGGCACAAUUUCUGGACUCCCCUCCUCGGCAACUACAUUUUUUACACGACAUUUCGAUCCAUUUUUACUCAUCGUCUUCUUUCUCUAACGUCGAACUAUCUGCGAAUGUUGUUUGAUUGAUUUUGUGUUAGUGCGAUUUUGGUUUCUAGGGUUUAGUGUAUAUAUUAAGGGCUUUAACAGGGAACUAACAAAAUGGCGCUGGCUUUGGUUGAUUUAUAGAGCGAAGAUGCAUAAGAAAUUAGAGGAGUGUGAUUCGACGUAAUUAUGUGCAAGUAAAACAACCUGAAAUGCUAAAUACCACACAGGUCAAUUGUAGUCUAUACUUAAUACCAUCGCAUACGAUGCUACCGCAUGUGUUUACGUUAUGUGCGUUUUGAGUGGUCUUUGUCUCGACGCUGCAUACAGUGUCGCCGCAACGCGCGACAGCUAAAAUCUAUCUUAAAUGUAAAUGUCGGUGACAUUUCCAUUUAAGCCACUUCUUUUUUCUUGCUUUCUAUACUUUACGGUAUAUGCUAAUUAGUAACGUCAGUAUGCAUUUGAACUUGUACUUCAUGCUUAAUGAGGCAUCUUUGUCUCUCUUUUUGACACGUUUUUUUGCCUUUACUAUGCUCUGGAUUUCUGGUGAUUUUCCACGUCUGUUGUCGAUGGCAGUCGUAACCAUCGAGGGAUGAUAGUGGUCUGGAGCCUCAACCGUCGUCUUCGGCGUAGCCAGUGGCGAAGCUUGAAAAUUUCCACCGGUGGGUCGGAAGUCAGCGGACCUAAAAGUAUAUACCUAUUUUUUUUAAAACCGGGGGGUCGAAAACGUAUAUACCUAAAAAAUUCUAUACGGAACGUACAUACAUAACACUACUGAGCGAAAAGUUCAGGGGGUCGCCCCCUAGCACCGCGACCCUUCAUAGCUUCGCCGCCGCGUAACGGCUUCCGAUAGUAAUUCCGGUAACGACAGAAGGGAUGACAUCAGUCAUCAACUGCAAGCCAGUUUUCCGACGAAGAGGGUUAUAUGACCAAAUCGGUCGGCGAUGACUAUGACACAUCAGCAUGGAGUUAAAAAGAUGCCUGCUUUAGUUAAUUACAGAGGUUCAUUCUAUGAGGGAAUUUCUCAUUUUAGUAGGAUCUUUCCAAUUAAAUAGCUUAAUAGCCAUAUUGGUAGCGGUUGGGAUGAUUUUAGCCACAACAAUUCACGUGGCUCGGACCUAGCUUUAUGAUUAGUUCGUCAUAAGAAGAAUCUGAUCUGUUUUAGUAUACGGAUCAACCUGCAUCACCUCAGGUGAGUAGCCACUCACGUACGUAAUUGUUAUAGGGCAUUGUAUUGCCUGCCGAACGUGGUGCCGCAUCGCUACGAGACCGAAAAAGACAGUGCACCACGAUACCCAGUUCCUAUCUAGGAUGCCCGAGGAGUAUGAGUUGACGCUACUGAACGUUUGCUACUGAACAGGUUUAGUAGCAUCAAUAAUUCAAACAUGCUACACUGUUCAUUGAGUCAUUCUAGAGUGCAGGGGACCUGUAUGAGAAGUAUGUUUGAUACAUGUCGAACCAUAGUUAAAAAAAAAAACAACGAACCGAAUACGUUGAUUCCAUUUGGCCAUAUUAUAACUAUUAUCUUUGGGUUUUUUUUUCCGUUUGCCAUGGUGAGCGCAUCGUAGUGUGAUACCGAUCGAGUCUUCGUCCGAUACCCGCCGCAACGCGCGGCAAAAAUACCUAGUUAAAGAAUAAAGAUGAACUAAAA
rnacentral:lncRNA from 1 species